UACGGAGGAUCCAAGCGUUAUCCGGAUUUAUUGGGUUUAAAGGGUGCGUAGGCGGCUUUUUAAGUCAGGGGUGAAAGACGGUGGCUCAACCAUCGCAGUGCCCUUGAUACUGAAGAGCUUGAAUGAACUAGAGGUAGGCGGAAUGUGACAAGUAGCGGUGAAAUGCAUAGAUAUGUCACAGAACACCGAUUGCGAAGGCAGCUUACUAUGGUUUAAUUGACGCUGAGGCACGAAAGCGUGGGGAGCAAACGGGAUUAGAACCUACGUAGUCAGACCAAGAUCCAUCUGUCACCGUCAAUACACUCGACCGUGACCCAUGACCGAUG
rnacentral:rRNA from 1 species